rnacentral:lncRNA from 1 species
AACUGCCACAGAUCCUAUGACCCGUAGAAGAAGGACUAUCAGCCCUUAAUUGCAAUAGCUGUGUAAUUUCAGAACUUCCCUUCCCUUGUUCACCUACUCUCUGACCUUUAUGUCAGCUUCUAAUUUCCUUCUGUAAUUGACUCUCUCUCUCUCUAGUACAGGGAACUAUGGCAGCAGAUGAAUCCUCCCCUCUGUGAAGAAGAUGCAAGCAAGUUUUUGGAAAAAGGAGUAGUCUGAAAACAUUUCAGAUGAAAAAGGGGGGUUAUUCAAGACAUUGGCUGGUACCAUCCUUGUUGAAAUCCACUGUGGAUUGAAGAACAGCUGUCUCUGGAGAUAUCCAUCAACAGUUUCAUUCUCAUCAACUAUAUCACUUCAAGAUAUUCCUUGAACUGUUAAGUGUAAUUGACAGGGACUGGCAGUUAUGAUGGCAGACUGUGGUAGUUCCCAUUCUACGCAACCCAGAGAGCCCUUGGUAGAGAAACCAGCAGAAGAGGGUCCUGGCCAAGGGAGAACAGACUCACCCUGAAUAUGAUCAGACUCAUCCCAAUCGGACUCAUCCGUAGCUGAGCUCCAGCGACCCCGAACAGCAGAAGAAAAACAUUCCAAGUGGAAGCUUGGUUUCAUACACGUCAUUUUGGAGCACAGAGAAAGACAUCUGUCUUAGAGGUAAGUCAAUGACAUCUGGUAUUUCUUAUUAGGACAGUCUACAAAUAGCAUAAAUCUUUAACUGAUAGUGUAAGUCUAGUCAAUGGGGCCACUGACACUGCAGGUAAGUUAGGGAUCCUGCCUACAAUUCUGUAUUUUUCUUUCCCACCUGCCCUUCUGGAGGGUCUGGAG